rnacentral:rRNA from 1 species
GACGAACGACUGUGCGGCGUGCUUAACACAUGCAAGUCGAACGGAAAGGCCCUGCUUUUGUGGGGUGCUCGAGUGGCGAACGGGUGAGUAACACGUGAGUAACCUGCCCUUGACUUUGGGAUAACUUCAGGAAACUGGGGCUAAUACCGGAUAGGAGCUCCUGCUGCAUGGUGGGGGUUGGAAAGUUUCGGCGGUUGGGGAUGGACUCGCGGCUUAUCAGCUUGUUGGUGGGGUAGUGGCUUACCAAGGCUUUGACGGGUAGCCGGCCUGAGAGGGUGACCGGCCACAUUGGGACUGAGAUACGGCCCAGACUCCUACGGGAGGCAGCAGUGGGGAAUAUUGCACAAUGGGCGGAAGCCUGAUGCAGCAACGCCGCGUGCGGGAUGACGGCCUUCGGGUUGUAAACCGCUUUCGCCUGUGACGAAGCGUGAGUGACGGUAAUGGGUAAAGAAGCACCGGCUAACUACGUGCCAGCAGCCGCGGUGAUACGUAGGGUGCGAGCGUUGUCCGGAUUUAUUGGGCGUAAAGGGCUCGUAGGUGGUUGAUCGCGUCGGAAGUGUAAUCUUGGGGCUUAACCCUGAGCGUGCUUUCGAUACGGGUUGACUUGAGGAAAGGUAGGGGAGAAUGGAAUUCCUGGUGGAGCGGUGGAAUGCGCAGAUAUCAGGAGGAACACCAGUGGCGAAGGCGGUUCUCUGGGCCUUUCCUGACGCUGAGGAGCGAAAGCGUGGGGAGCGAACAGGCUUAGAUACCCUGGUAGUCCACGCUGUAAACGGUGGGUACUAGGUGUGGGGUCCAUUCCACGGGUUCCGUGCCGUAGCUAACGCUUUAAGUACCCCGCCUGGGGAGUACGGCCGCAAGGCUAAAACUCAAAGGAAUUGACGGGGCCCCGCACAAGCGGCGGAGCAUGCGGAUUAAUUCGAUGCAACGCGUAGAACCUUACCUGGGUUUGACAUGGAUCGGGAGUGCUCAGAGAUGGGUGUGCCUCUUUUGGGGUCGGUUCACAGGUGGUGCAUGGCUGCCGUCAGCUCGUGUCGUGAGAUGUUGGGUUAAGUCCCGCAACGAGCGCAACCCUUGUUCACUGUUGCCAGCACGUUAUGGUGGGGACUCAGUGGAGACCGCCGGGGUCAACUCGGAGGAAGGUGGGGAUGACGUCAAGUCAUCAUGCCCCUUAUGUCCAGGGCUUCACGCAUGCUACAAUGGCUGGUACAGAGAGUGGCGAGCCUGUGAGGGUGAGCGAAUCUCGGAAAGCCGGUCUCAGUUCGGAUUGGGGUCUGCAACUCGACCUCAUGAAGUCGGAGUCGCUAGUAAUCGCAGAUCAGCAACGCUGCGGUGAAUACGUUCCCGGGGCU